UACGUAGGCAGCGAGCGUUGUUCGGAGUUACUGGGCGUAAAGGGUGUGUAGGCGGUUUUCUAAGUUUGGUGUGAAAUCUCCCGGCUCAACCGGGAGGUGCGCCGAAAACUGGGAGACUAGAGUGCGGGAUGGGAGAGUAGAAUUCCUGGUGUAGCGGUGAAAUGCGUAGAUAUCAGGAGGAAUACCGGUGGUGUAGACGGCUCUCUGGACCGCCACUGACGCUGAGACACGAAAGCGUGGGUAGCAAACAGG
rnacentral:rRNA from 1 species